GACGAACGCUGGCGGCGUGCUUAACACAUGCAAGUCGAACGGAAAGGCCCUGCUUUUGUGGGGUGCUCGAGUGGCGAACGGGUGAGUAACACGUGAGUAACCUGCCCUUGACUUUGGGAUAACUUCAGGAAACUGGGGCUAAUACCGGAUAGGAGCUCCUGCUGCAUGGUGGGGGUUGGAAAGUUUCGGCGGUUGGGGAUGGACUCGCGGCUUAUCAGCUUGUUGGUGGGGUAGUGGCUUACCAAGGCUUUGACGGGUAGCCGGCCUGGGAGGGUGACCGGCCACGUUGGGCCUGAGAUACGGCACAGACUCCUACGGGAGGCAGCAGUGGGGAAUAUUGCACAAUGGGAGGAAGCCUGAUGCGGCAACGCCGCGUGCGGGAAGACGGCCUUCGGGUUGUAAACCGCUUUCGCCUGUGACGAAGCGUGAGUGACGGUAAUGGGUAAAGAAGCACCGGCUAACUACGUG
rnacentral:rRNA from 1 species